AUACGUAGGGGGCGAGCGUUGUCCGGAUUUACUGGGCGUAAAGGGUGAGUAGGCGGUUGUACGUGUCAGAUGUAAAAGGCUAUGGCUUAACUAUAGUUAGCAUAUGAAACUGUACGACUUGAGUGCAGGAGAGGUAAGCGGAAUUCCUAGUGUAGCGGUGAAAUGCGUAGAUAUUAGGAGGAACACCAGUGGCGAAGGCGGCUUACUGGACUGUAACUGACGCUGAAUCACGAAAGCGUGGGUAGCAAACAGGAUUAGAUACCCUGGUAGUCCACGCUGUAAACGAUGAGUGCUAGGUGUCGGGUAGCGAUAUUCGGUGCCGAAGUAAACACAAUAAGCACUCCGCCUGGGGAGUACGGUCGCAAGACUGAA
rnacentral:rRNA from 1 species